rnacentral:rRNA from 1 species
ACGUUAGCGGCGGACGGGUGAGUAACACGUGGGUAACCUACCUAUAAGACUGGGAUAACUUAGGGAAACCGGAGCUAAUACCGGAUAAUAUUUCGAACCGCAUGGUUCGAUAGUGAAAGAUGGUUUUGCUAUCACUUAUAGAUGGACCUGCGCCGUAUUAGCUAGUUGGUAAGGUAACGGCUUACCAAGGCGACGAUACGUAGCCGACCUGAGAGGGUGAUCGGCCACACUGGAACUGAGACACGGUCCAGACUCCUACGGGAGGCAGCAGGC